GCUUGUCUCAAAGAUUAAGCCAUGCAUGUCUAAGUAUAAACGACUUUAUACAGUGAAACUGCGAAUGGCUCAUUAAAUCAGUUAUAGUUUAUUUGAUAAUACCUUACUACUUGGAUAACCGUGGUAAUUCUAGAGCUAAUACAUGCUACACAACCCGACUUCUGGAAGGGGUGUAUUUAUUAGAUGGAAACCAAUGCGGGGUAACCCGGAAUAUGGUGAUUCAUAAUAACUUUCGGAUCGAUUUAUCGAUGCAUCAUUCAAGUUUCUGCCCUAUCAGCUUUGGAUGGUAGGGUAUUGGCCUACCAUGGCUUUAACGGGUAACGGAGAAUUAGGGUUCGAUUCCGGAGAGGGAGCCUGAGAAAUGGCUACCACAUCCAAGGAAGGCAGCAGG
rnacentral:rRNA from 1 species